AUGGCGUAUGGGCUGAGCUGGCUUCUCCUGUUGGCUAUGCUAGGAGGGGUCCAGUGUGAGGUGCAGCUGGUGGAGUCUGGAGGAGACUUAGUGCAGCCCGGGGGGUCCCUGAGACUCUCCUGUAUAGCCUCUGGGUUCACCUUUAGUGACUACUGGAUGAGCUGGGUCCGCCAGGCUCCAGGGAAGGGCCCAGAGUGGGUCUCAGACAUUAAUAAAAAUAGUGGUACUGCAAGGUAUGCUUACUCUGUGAAGGGCCGAUUCAGCAUCUCCAGAGACAACAGCAGGAACACGCUCUCUCUGCAAAUGAACAGCCUGAGAGAAGAGGACACGGCCCUGUAUUACUGUGAGAGACGCACAGUGAGUGGAAGGCCCUGUGGGUCCAGACACAAACCACCUGCAGGAGGAAGCAGGGUGAGCUUCAGGGGCUCAGGCCCCCAGGAGGCUCUGCGGACUCACCCCUUAGGAAACGUUGUUCUUGCCCAGAUGAAUCAUGUUUCUGUGGAAAUCAGGACUGGCCUGCCCCUCAGCUCUCAGAUGACCUUAUGGGCAUCUUGUCUUGUGGGUUGUGGCUCUGAGUCCUCCAUACCCACGUUGGGCAGGAAGUUUUCCACACUCUGCCUCCUGAUGGAAGUUUCCAGUGAUGGGACUAUGACUUCCCUGGGCCAUAACGGGCACAUGAUGCUCUUAUAG